UUUCCCCAGGGCUUUAGGGAGGAUUUCCUCUGUGUGUGAGGGAGAGAGCCUCGGGGCCCUGCAUUGCUCCAGCCACCCCUCCCUGGGAUGUUGCCGAGGGCAGGGAAAGAGUGUGGAGAGUGACCAGGAGCCAGCCCAGAGCUCCCCAGGCCCCUCUGCAGCUUUGGCCAUGUCUAUUCACAUCUGGCUCCCAUGGCCUUACCCGACACCCUGGCAGUGCCCAGUUCCCUGUGCCAGAAGGGGAUCCCAGCACAACCUGGAAAGUGUUCUCAUCUGUGCUCCGUUCUACAUGAGGUUGCUGGGAAGGCUUCUGCAUUAGCUUGGAUGAAUAAAGUUUUGAAGCCCUUGGAGCCUCCUGCAGAUGUGUCUACAGGGAGGACUUCUCCAGCUCCUACCUUGGAUGCUGCACAAAAGCCCAGCUCCCAUGACAGGGUUCCUCUGUCAGGGAUGAUCCAAGACACAAGAGACAAGAUACCCCAGAAACCAUCCAAACAGAUGAGGCAAGUGCUGAAGGAACCCCUGCAGACAAGAAAAG